ACUCCUACGGGAGGCAGCAGUGGGGAAUCUUGCACAAUGGGCGAAAGCCUGAUGCAGCCAUGCCGCGUGAAUGAUGAAGGCCUUAGGGUUGUAAAAUUCUUUCGCCAGGGAUGAUAAUGACAGUACCUGGUAAAGAAGCCCCGCUAAGCUUACUGUGCCAGCAGCCGCGGUAAUACGAAGGGGCGUAGCGUUGUUCGGAAUUACUGGGCGUAAAGCGCAUGCAGGUGGUUUGUUAAGUCAGAUGUGAAAGCCCGGGCGUCAACCUCGGAAUUGCAUUUGAAACUGGCAGACUAGAGUACUGUAGAGGGGUGAGAAUUUCAGGUGUAGCGGUGAAAUGCGUAGAGAUCUGAAGGAAUACCGGUGGCGAAGGCGGCCC
rnacentral:rRNA from 1 species